rnacentral:lncRNA from 1 species
UUAAACUGGUUUAAAGUAAAAGCAUGAAAAUUUGUUUUGAACUUAGUUACAAGUUAAGUUAUUAUUUAUGAUUUUAAAUAGUUAAAUCAAACAUCAAAUUAUUUAUAUAUGUCAAAAAAAGAUUCAUCAAACUAUAUAUGUACUUAUUAUUGUGUCAGAAGUUUUAAAACACUCAUAUAUUAGAAAUAGUUUAGAAAAUAUCUUUAUAUAAAUAUUUUUGUUUGACUAAUAUUUAAUUAUAAACUGUUUUAUAUCUUAUUUUUUUAACUUUAUAAUAAAAAAUAUUGCUUUCACAUAGCAACACAAUAUAUAUAAGAAUUCUCUUAAUUUUAAA